CUCUUUUCUUAACUUUCUCUUUUCACUUUUACUCCUUUUUUCCCUUGCCGUCACUGUGCUCAUUUCUGUAAACCAUUUUUUUCUCCUGACUAUUCUUCCGCUCGUCGUCUUCGUGUUUUUCCUGUAAAUCGUUUCCUUCGCCAUCUUUGUUCAUUCAAAGUUUCGCAAUUUGGAAACAAGAAAAGGUGACGAGGAUCAUGAUAUGGUGCUACAAAUGCAACGUUUACACUAGUUAACAAAUGUGAGUACACCAUAUGGCAUGGAACCUUAGGCACUCCAAAACUAGACUCGACAGGCUUUGAACUACCAGAAAGAACUUCCCGCUCCUUUCAAGGUCUGACAUGAUGGUCCAGUCGCUUAUGGGGAAGAACAAGGUGUAACUUCGACAGCUUCGGCCAAGGUUCCUGCUCUACCGUAGACUAUGGCUCGAGCCAACUUGAUUGCAAUGGAAACAACGCUACCCCACCGGCAACUUUAGUAGAAUCUACACCAACUACACUCAUAAGAAUGCUAUUUUUCACCUGCUCCGGAUAUAGCUCAAGGAAAAGCCCAAGCAUUCUAUUCAGUCUCCAACUUGCAAAGCAUUGUUGUUUCAACAAUCUAAUUGUGGAGUGCGAUGCUUUAAAUGUAAUUGAGCAUCUUCAAGGUGUAAUAAUCGACCUCUCUAACCGGGGCCUGAUUUUUUAUGAUAUUUUGCAGCUAGCUUGUAGUUUUACUAAUAUUAACUUUCUAUAUACUCGUAGAAACAACAAUAUCAACUUUGUAUAUUCAGCUA